rnacentral:tRNA from 1 species
GGUUGUAGCUCAAUGAUAGAGCACUUGCCUAGCAUGUGUGAGACACUGGGUUCGAUCCCCGGCACCA